CUUCGGAUUGUAAACCUCUGUCACCGGGGAAGAAACGCUUUGAGUUAAUAGUUCAAAGCCUGACUUAACCCGGAGAGGAAGCAGUGGCUAACUCUGUGC
rnacentral:rRNA from 1 species